GCCCUGAUAGUAUAAUCAUUACUUUGGUCUUGUAAACCAAAAAUAAGGAACAUUCCUUUCAAGGCA
rnacentral:tRNA from 1 species